GAUGAACGCUGGCGGCGUGCCUAAUACAUGCAAGUCGAGCGAACAGACGAGGAGCUUGCUCCUCUGACGUUAGCGGCGGACGGGUGAGUAACACGUGGAUAACCUACCUAUAAGACUGGGAUAACUUCGGGAAACCGGAGCUAAUACCGGAUAACAUGUUGAACCGCAUGGUUCAACAGUGAAAGACGGUUUUGCUGUCACUUAUAGAUGGAUCCGCGUCGCAUUAGCUAGUUGGUAAGGUAACGGCUUACCAAGGCAACGAUGCGUAGCCGACCUGAGAGGGUGAUCGGCCACACUGGAACUGAGACACGGUCCAGACUCCUACGGGAGGCAGCAGUAGGGAAUAUUCCGCAAUGGGCGAAAGCAUGACGGAGCAACGCCGCGUGAGUGAAGAAGGUCUUCGGAUCGUAAAACUCUGUUAUUAGGGAAGAACAAAUGUGUAAGUAACUAUGCACGUCUUGACGGUACCUAAUCAGAAAGCCACGGCUAACUACGUG
rnacentral:rRNA from 1 species